CUGGCGGCACGCCUAACACAUGCAAGUCGAGCGCAGUCCUUCGGGACCGAGCGGCGGACGGGUUAGUAACGCGUGGGAACAUACCCUUCUCUACGGAAUAGCCUCGGGAAACUGAGAGUAAUACCGUAUAAGCCCUUCGGGGGAAAGAUUUAUCGGUGAAGGAUUGGCCCGCGUAAGAUUAGAUAGUUGGUGGGGUAAUGGCCUACCAAGUCUACGAUCUUUAGCUGGUUUGAGAGGAUGAUCAGCAACACUGGGACUGAGACACGGCCCAGACUCCUACGGGAGGCAGCAGUGGGGAAUCUUAGACAAUGGGGGAAACCCUGAUCUAGCGAUGCCGCGUGUGUGACGAAGGCCUUAGGGUCGUAAAGCACUUUCGCCAAGGAUGAUAAUGACAGUACUUGGUAAAGAAACCCCGGCUAACUCCGUGCCAGCAGCCGCGGUAAUACGGAGGGGGUUAGCGUUGUUCGGAAUUACUGGGCGUAAAGCGCACGUAGGCGGACUUUUAAGUUAGAGGUGAAAUCCCAGGGCUCAACCCUGGAACUGCCUUUAAUACUGGAAGUCUUGAGUUCGAGAGAGGUAAGUGGAAUUCCAAGUGUAGAGGUGAAAUU
rnacentral:rRNA from 1 species